CCUACGGGGGGCAGCAGUGGGGAAUAUUGCACAAUGGGGGAAACCCUGAUGCAGCGACGCCGCGUGAGUGAAGAAGUACCUCGGUAUGUAAAGCUCUAUCAGCAGGGAAGAAAAUGACGGUACCUGAGUAAGAAGCCCCGGCUAACUACGUGCCAGCAGCCGCGGUACUACGUAGGGGGCAAGCGUUAUCCGGAUUUACUGGGUGUAAAGGGAGCGUAGACGGCAGAACAAGUCUGGAGUGAAAGUCCGGGGCUCAACCCCGGAACUGCUUUGGAAACUGUACGGCUGGAGUGCAGGAGAGGUAAGCGGAAUUCCUAGUGUAGCGGUGAAAUGCGUAGAUAUUAGGAGGAACACCGGUGGCGAAGGCGGCUUACUGGACUGUAACUGACGUUGAGGCUCGAAAGCGUGGGGAGCAAACAGGAUUAGAUACCCUUGUAGUC
rnacentral:rRNA from 1 species